AUUGAACGCUGGCGGAAUGCUUUACACAUGCGAGUCGAACGGUAGAGGGGGCAACCCCUCGAGAGUGGCGAACGGGUGAGUAAUAUAUCGGAACGUGCCCAGUCGUGGGGGAUAACGUAGCGAAAGUUACGCUAAUACCGCAUACGAUCUAAGGAUGAAAGCGGGGGAUCGCAAGACCCCGCGCGAUUGGAGCGGCCGAUAUCAGAUUAGGUAGUUGGUGGGGUAAAGGCUCACCAAGCCAACGAUCUGUAGCUGGUCUGAGAGGACGACCAGCCACACUGGAACUGAGACACGGUCCAGACUCCUACGGGAGGCAGCAGUGGGGAAUUUUGGACAAUGGACGCAAGUCUGAUCCAGCCAUUCCGCGUGCAGGAUGAAGGCCCUCGGGUUGUAAACUGCUUUUGUACGGAACGAAAAGGUCUCUCUUAAUACGGGGGGCUCAUGACGGUACCGUAAGAAUAAGCACCGGCUAACUACGUGCCAGCCGCCGCGGUAA
rnacentral:rRNA from 1 species